ensembl:lncRNA
AAGGAGUUAGCCAAGAACAGGAACUCCAUCCAAGGCCUACGCUGGAGAGCUGCCGAACGGAGACACUUUUCGCAAGACAGUUGGAAGUCUUGGCAGCCCUGAAGAAGCAAUGAUCUUUCAGCAAGACAACAGAGAGGAGGCUUGAUGAGGUUGACUGACACAAGGGUGUGUUCAAAGGAGGAGAUCAGAUCCUCUUUCUGAACACUCCAGCUACAGUCCUUCUCCUCCUGUCUGCUCAUCAAAGCCAAACAAGCCUUGGAGAGAGAGAGAAGGAUUCAAAGAGAAUACUUGUUCCAGAGGAUUCAGAGGAAGAAUUUGAGCAAAAAAGAAGUUGCCCAACACUACAAACUUCAUAUACUUUUUGGAGGACAGAAGGGGAGGAGAAAGGUUGAAUCAAGCUGCUUUAGUCACUCUGUCCUUGUCAAAUGAGCCAGAAUAUCA